UACGGAAGGCAGCAGUGGGGAAUAUUGCACAAUGGGCGAAAGCCUGAUGCAGCUAUGCCGCGUGUAUGAAGAAGGCCUUAGGGUUGUAAAGUACUUUCAUCGGGGAGGAAAAACAAAACUAAUAAUUUUAUUUCUUGACGUUACCCGAAAAAGAAGCACCGGCUAACUCCGUGCCAGCAGCCGCGGUAAUACGGAGGGUGCUAGCGUUAAUCAGAAUUACUGGGCGUAAAGAGCACGUAGGUGGUUUUUUUAAGUCAGAUGUGAAAUCCCUGGGCUUAACCUAGGAACUGCAUUUUGAAACUGAAAUACUAGAGUAUCGUAGAGGGAGGUAGAAUUCUAGGUGUAGCGGUGAAAUGCGUAGAUAUCUGGAGGAAUACCUGUGGCGAAAGCGGCCUCCUAAACGAAUACUGACACUGAGGUGCGAAAGCGUGGGGAGCGAAACAGGGAUUAGAUA
rnacentral:rRNA from 1 species